CUCCUGCUCAUUAGGCGGAGCACCACUUGUCUCCAUCAUGAGAAGCCAGCAUUCCCCUCAGUACAACUGUGUCAGCAGCCACACAUGGAAGUGAGUGCUCUGAACUCAGGUGGCAAGGUUAUUGCCUGGGUCCCAGAGCUCAUCAGGGGCACAGCCAGGUUCAUUUGCUGCCUCUGGCAGCAUAACAGAUGCAUCCAUAUCCCCUGUUAUUUCUCUCUCUGCAGGUUUCAAAGGAAGAAUAAGGAGAAAUAAGGCAGCCCAUGAGAGGAGACAGUGCCAAAUUUGUAGAUUCAGCCUAAGGAGCCCCCUGCCCAUCCCCAGAACCUUCCUCCUGCAAAAUCCCGGCCUGGGAGUCGAACCUGAAGAACCUCAUGCCCCUGUACCUGCUGCCCAACCACAGCCAGAACAUUCUGUCCUGGGAAGACGCACCCCCGCACCGCCCUCUCCACCGCUGAGGAGCCAUGCCCGUUCCCCAGAACCUUCCUCCUGCAAAAUCCCUGCCUGGGAGUCGAAUCUGAAGAACCUCAUGCUCCUGCACCUGCUGCCCAACCACAGCCAGAACGUGCUGUCCUGGGAAGACGCACCCCCGGGGAGCCAGCAGGUCCAGGGCCCCGUGCCCACCGCCCUCUCCACCACCGAGGAGCCAGGGCAGGGGCAGGCUGUCCCGGGGCCGCAGCACCUGUGGCACGGCCAACCUGAAGAACAGAUGCCGGAGGUGGCUCAGGCCGGGGCCUCUCUGUCCAGCCGGGGUGCUGAGGGCCUGCCACCCACUCAGGGCAAGAGUGGGCUCCCCUUGCGGCCCCCCUGCCAGGAAGCCCCUGAGUCCACAGCCUGCGUUUGGCCACCAUCGUCGACCUGGGAUCACAACGCCUGAGGGCUUGGCAGGGCCGCUGUGUGCAGAGGGCAGUGCAUCCUGGAGAGUCCCCAGGACCAUUCCACAAGGAAGGUCCCCUUGUGUCCCCUCCCCCCCACCAGACACCAGGGGGGCUGCAGCCUGGCUUCCUCCUGAGGGGAGCGCUGGGCAGUGUGGUGGGGAGUCUGGGAGGCAAGGACCCCAGCGCCUCCCGACCCAGGCCUCGGAAGACUUCCAAGAGCUCUGUGUUUGCUCAGCAUAGAAGUCCCCUCCCCCAGCCCCACUCCCCCACCCCGUCCCGCCCGCCCCUCCUGCUCUCAGCUUGGCUCCCUAAGUUCUUGGAGCCUCCAGACACGCCCACGUGCUGUCCAGGACUCAGGACCCACCACUGUGCUGCUCUCACUUGUGUCGAUGAGCAGCAUUGAUAACAGGUUUGAACUUAAGCAGCUUUUAAGGAAAUUCUUCAGAAUUUCUCAGGAAGUUAUAUUACAGGACAUAAUAGAAAUUAAUUUUAUUGGCAAUAAACUUUAAACCAAUCUUGGUUAAUUUUACAUUUGAGUGCCAGGUGGCCUUUUUGCAGUCUUAAUGUGCCCUGCCUGCCCCCCAGCCUGAGCCACCCGGCGCUGGGCCCCGAAGUCCAGCAUGCACCGGCCGGGUCUGGGCCUGCAGAAGUGGCCCCCAGUCCACCCCAUCCCCCUGCCCCAGCUCCCAGGCAGGCAGGUUGGGAGGCUAACCUGAGGGCGGCCCGAGUGCAGCCCAUGUGGGCAGCAACUCUCUGGACCCCAGAGGUGGCCACCUAUUUCUCUGAGCAGUUUGCUGUGGCUCCAGCCUGAACCCACAGCCCCCUGCUGCCGCGUGGGCAGGCUUGCUCGCCGGGCUUCCUGGAGGAGGUGGCCCUGGCCCAGGCUCCUCACCUUCCAUGCCUGUUCCUCCAACAGGCACCCUGUACUCCCUGGGACCUGCCCACCUCCCCACCAUGCUCGCCCUCACCCAUGGACCUCCCUGCAGUAAUCAUUUCCACCCUUCCUCCUGAUGGAACCUGUUACCUGCAGGCCCUUCCCCAGGUGGGCCAGCCCUUCCUGCCAGGCUCCCCUUCCCCAUUUCUGUAUCUCCCUGCAUUGCUCCCAAGCCUCCCAGGACCUGUUCCCCCCAAGUGCUUGAAACUUGGUCAUGGCCCCCACAUGGCAGCUGCCCGACCUUGUGUCCUGAGAGCCUCCAAGUCCACACAGGCUCACAGGACCACAGAACCCAGCACCUGCCUGACCUGACAUCAACCUUGAGAGACGAUCCUCUGGCUCCUAGAGGGGACGUAGUCUCGGCCUCCCACCCAAACUCACACACCAGAAGAUUCUCCAACAGAGAACAGGUCAGAAACUAACCAGGUCUUGACAAGGACGACAGGCUGUGCGAGCUGCACGUGGAGCUCGGUGCUGCGGACACGGCCGGGGGCCACAUGAGAGUCAACCGUGGAGCAAAGCCCAGGUAUGUGACACAAAGGAAGGGCUUCUGGCUUUAUGGUGAAAGUUUCACCACAAAACAGUUGGCGCUGUCAUAAAUAUGUAAUUUUGUUGCAUCCUGUAUUUAUACAGAGUGCGAAAACCCCCAGGAAACUUUUGAGAGAAAGAUGAACUGAGACAUAAGUGGUGAAGGGUUGGGGCUUCUUUGAAACCAGGCCUUGAGCCAGAAGCAAAGGGCACAGGCGGCAAGGGUCCAAGGUGAACCCGGCAGCAAUCGGCUGAGCUGAACGGGCCCAAGUUGAGAAGCUUGGUGUCUCAGAGUCUAAGAUCAGUGAAGACAAGCUCAUGACCAAAGACCACAGACCAUCAUGGGUGAGAGUCAACAAAGAGUAAAGAGAGGAUUCAGACGCCCAGGAACGUGAGAAAUCAGAAAUACACAAUAGUAAGUGGGAUGCACAAAAUAUUUAAAUGUGAGACCGAAAGACAAUAAGAAGAGGAUUUUCUAAAUGAUCAGGAAGUUACACAAAAGGCCUGAAUAUAAUUUUUAGAAAUGAAUAUGCUUGUUACAAACUUAAACACCAGAUUAGAGCUAGCUGAAGAGAGAACAUUGGACUGGAACAUAAUUUGAGGAAAUUAUCAGA
rnacentral:lncRNA from 1 species